rnacentral:lncRNA from 1 species
AAAGUCGGAUUGAUAUUGAAUCGGCACUUCCAACAUCAGAUCUUCCAAUUAUUGAGUUUGAGAGCUAAGGGGAGGGCUUCCUUCUCUGCUAACGUUGUUGUUUGACUCUUCACUUCCUUUAUCAAUUCAUCUUCGUGAGCAGCAAACGCCUUGUUCUCGUCUUCCACGUCUCUCUUGAGUCGAACGACUUCAACUUCUGUAGAUUCCAAUCCUUCCAAUCAAAUGUGUAUUUUCUCUUCAACGAACGUCCAAUUUUUCAUCCUUGUUCUUUAAAUCAAGGCAGUAUUGUG